CCGUGAUAACGUAGCAUAAUCAUUCGCCACCUAAUUAGUGGAUAGUAUGAAUGGUAAAACGAGUAUAACACUCUCUCAGAAGGAAGUUUUAUGAAAUUGGAAUGGUAGUCAAGAUACUACCUAAAACUGUAAGACGAAAAGACCCUAUAGAGCUUAACUAUACCUUUCUCACAAAAUUAAGUUCACUUAAGUUCCAGAAAGAUUGGUAGUUUAGUUGGGGCGACUGCUUUCUAGUAAAAACGAAAGCAAGCAAUAUUAAUUAUCUAAUUUACUGUCUAAUCUAUGUAUUUAACAGUUAUAAGAAUAGGCAAUAAUGACCCGUUAGUAAUAAAAAACACUACUAACGAACAAUAAAUAAAAGUUACCUUAGGGAUAACAGGAUAAUCUUGUUCUAGAGACCCUAUCGAAAACAAGGUUUGUCACCUCUAUGUUGAAUUAAGAUAUCCUAGAAGUGUAGAAGCUUCUGAGG
rnacentral:rRNA from 1 species